ensembl:lncRNA
CACAGAUGACAUUAAACUUGUGUUUACGCGGCUGGAGGAAGGAGACGCUUUCAAAAAUGUUGAUGAGUUUCUGACGCAACUGACCGCAAAGGAAGAGAUUCCUGACAUCCAUCCAGCCGUGAGAGAUGUGAUGAUGAAUCAGACGUUCAACAUCAUCAGCCUUCAAUUCCCAGAGUUCGAAACGCUGGACUGGAUUGCAUGGUUCGAAGUAAAGCUGAUUCCCAUCCUCCCCAGUUUUAAUGAAGUCAUGCUCACCAUUGCUACCUCAAACGUCAACUGCACCAACUACCAAGUCAUUGUAAAUGGAAUGGACAGAGCUUUCCCUGAAAUGACUCAGGAUAGAAGAGAAGGAAUCGCAAGAGUCCUGCUGAAAUACCUGAGGAAAUCUGUGCACCUCAUCAAUGG